AGGCUAGUUGAUUAUAGAACAGUACGGUGACCAUGGAAGUCAGAAUCCACUAAGGAGUGUAUAACAACUCAACUGACUACUCAACUGUCCCUGAAAAUGGAUGGUGCUGA
rfam:Pongo abelii chromosome 12.